rnacentral:tRNA from 1 species
GCAUCGGUAGCUCAGUCAGAGAGCGCCGGUCUUGUAAACCGGAGGCCGAGGGUUCGAGUCCCCCCCGACGCA